rnacentral:lncRNA from 1 species
UGGUGUUGAAGGUGUUGAAGGUGUGGAGGGGGCUGAAUAUCAACAGUGCUGUGGUGCGACUUCAGCGAGUGAUCAGGAGACGUCUGCUCCUCCUCCUCUACGCUGUCACCUUCCUGUUGUCUGUUCUUUUGUCAAACUGACUUUCCCUCCAAGAGCAUAGUUGCAUGUGAGCAGCAUUGUUUUCAUAUUAAGUCUUAAAAUAUGCUUCCUCACAUCAGGUAUCAGCCCCCGAAGGCUCAACUGUUCCCCACACCUAGUCCACACUUUGACAGCUGCGUCUGUUGUCGUGUUCUCGUGGGUUGAAAAGCCAGUUCAGGUAGCCACAGGAUUUGAGUUCUUCUUUCUUAUCUUCUUUCUCCUUCCUCUCCACCCACUGUCGGCCCGGUGGUGUGAUCAAGGCACAACGUGAGAUUUUCACCCCUGUCAACAUUUUCUGGAGGCGCCGCUGCCCGUAGAAAAACUGGGUCGUUGAAAACGUGUUGUAACACUUGUAACUGAAGCGUGUGCCAAGUGUGCCAACAGGAAUAAACAGGGCAUGGAACUCUGUAACACAACUCACUGCUUCACACUAAGUUUGUCAUUUUAGGACACACUCCUACGGUCUCACAUCACUUCACACAUCUGGAUGAAGUCAAACGAGACUUCAGUUCUAGUCACGCAUGAGAAUCAAGUAGUAAAGCUCCAGGCUGGUCUGCCUACAGGCUCCUCCCAGUUCUUUUGUAUUUAAACGCACUGGGGAUCCACGGGUCCAUCUACCACAUAGACUCUUACUGCAGAGAGAAAAUGUCAGACGGCCAAUCCAACAUCCCCCCUGCUGGAAACAUCCCCCCUGCAGCAAACCGUCCUCCCCAGGCAGGAGAUAAAGGAAAACAUGGCGACAAGCACUGUGGUGAAGGGCAAGGCCAUGGGCACGGGCACGGGCAAGGCCACGGGCACGGGCAUGGGCAAGGCCAGGGGCACGGCCAAGGUCACGGGAAAGAAAAAGGUCAAGGCCAACAGGGUGGAAACUGAGAAAAGGUGAACACAGGUGAGACAUGAAGUCCAUUAAAACCAUGAGGAACUCUUUUCUUAAUCAGCUUCGUACUCCGAGUGAUUCUACGCUCACUUUCUGCCACAGUCUGUGUCUGUUGUGAUAUUGAAAGGCGUCUCUUAUUGAUGUGGAACAUCUGUAACAGGUAAAGAUGUAAAUGCUGCUCGAGUGUCAGGAUAAGUUACGAAC